rnacentral:rRNA from 1 species
UAAGAGCGAAUGGUGGAUGCCUUGACUGGUAAAGGCGAUGAAGGACGUACUAGACUGCGAUAAGCUACGGGGAGCUGUCAAGAAGCUUUGAUCCGUAGAUUUCCGAAUGGGGCAACCCAAUGUAUAGAGAUAUACAUUACCUAUAUAGGAGCGAACGAGGGGAAUUGAAACAUCUUAGUACCCUCAGGAAAAGAAAUCAAUAGAGAUUGCGUCAGUAGCGGCGAGCGAAAGCGCAAGAGGGCAAACCCAGUGCUUGCACUGGGGGUUGUAGGACUGUAAUGUGCAAGAGGUAAGUUUAGCAGAACAUUCUGGAAAGUAUAACCAUAGAGGGUGAUAGUCCCGUAUGCGAAAAACAAACCUUAGCUAGCAGUAUCCUGAGUAGGGCGGGACACGAGGAAUCCUGUCUGAAUCCGGGUCGACCACGAUCCAACCCUAAAUACUAAUACCAGAUCGAUAGUGCACAAGUACCGUGAGGGAAAGGUGAAAAGAACUGAGGUGAUCAGAGUGAAAUAGAACCUGAAACCAUUUGCUUACAAUCAUUCAGAGCCUUAUGUAGCAAUACAGGGUGAUGGACUGCCUUUUGCAUAAUGAGCCUGCGAGUUGUGGUGUCUGGCAAGGUUAAGCAAACGCGAAGCCGUAGCGAAAGCGAGUCUGAAUAGGGCGCUUAGUCAGAUGCUGCAGACCCGAAACGAAGUGAUCUAUCCAUGAGCAAGUUGAAGCUAGUGUAAGAACUAGUGGAGGACUGAACCCAUAGGCGUUGAAAAGCCCCGGGAUGACUUGUGGAUAGGGGUGAAAGGCCAAUCAAACUUCGUGAUAGCUGGUUCUCUCCGAAAUAUAUUUAGGUAUAGCGUUGUGUCGUAAUAUAAGGGGGUAGAGCACUGAAUGGGCUAGGGCAUACACCAAUGUACCAAACCCUAUCAAACUCCGAAUACCUUAUAUGUAAUCACAGCAGUCAGGCGGCGAGUGAUAAAAUCCGUCGUCAAGAGGGAAACAACCCAGACUACCAGCUAAGGUCCCUAAAUCUUACUUAAGUGGAAAACGAUGUGAAGUUACUUAAACAACCAGGAGGUUGGCUUAGAAGCAGCCAUCCUUUAAAGAAAGCGUAAUAGCUCACUGGUCUAGUGAUUUUGCGCGGAAAAUAUAACGGGGCUAAAGUAAGUACCGAAGCUGUAGACUUGCGCACAACUUAGAUUAUUUAAGUUUAGAAUAUGAGAAACUAAGUUAUAUGUUUAGUUAUAUUUUUACUGAUUUUUAUAGAGUAAAGAUAGAAAUAAAACUUAGUAAAAUCAGUAAAAAUAUUCUUAGACUAAAGUUAAGUAGUUUAAGUUGUGUGCAAGUGGUAGGAGAGCGUUCUAUUUGCGUCGAAGGUAUACCGGUAAGGAGUGCUGGAGCGAAUAGAAGUGAGCAUGCAGGCAUGAGUAGCGAUAAUUAAUGUGAGAAUCAUUAACGCCGUAAACCCAAGGUUUCCUACGCGAUGCUCGUCAUCGUAGGGUUAGUCGGGUCCUAAGUCGAGUCCGAAAGGGGUAGACGAUGGCAAAUUGGUUAAUAUUCCAAUACCAACAUUAGUGUGCGAUGGAAGGACGCUUAGGGCUAAGGGGGCUAGCGGAUGGAAGUGCUAGUCUAAGGUCGUAGGAGGUUAUACAGGCAAAUCCGUAUAACAAUACUCCGAGAACUGAAAGGCUUUUUGAAGUCUUCGGAUGGAUAGAAGAACCCCUGAUGCCGUCGAGCCAAGAAAAGUUUCUAAGUUUAGCUAAUGUUGCCCGUACCGUAAACCGACACAGGUGGGUGGGAUGAGUAUUCUAAGGCGCGUGGAAGAACUCUCUUUAAGGAACUCUGCAAAAUAGCACCGUAUCUUCGGUAUAAGGUGUGGUUAGCUUUGUAUUAGGAUUUACUCCGAAAGCAAGGAAACUUACAACAAAGAGUCCCUCCCGACUGUUUACCAAAAACACAGCACUCUGCUAACUCGUAAGAGGAUGUAUAGGGUGUGACGCCUGCCCGGUGCUCGAAGGUUAAUUGAUGGGGUUAGCAUUAGCGAAGCUCUUGAUCGAAGCCCGAGUAAACGGCGGCCGUAACUAUAACGGUCCUAAGGUAGCGAAAUUCCUUGUCGGUUAAAUACCGACCUGCAUGAAUGGCGUAACGAGAUGGGAGCUGUCUCAAAGAGGGAUCCAGUGAAAUUGUAGUGGAGGUGAAAAUUCCUCCUACCCGCGGCAAGACGGAAAGACCCCGUGGACCUU